AAGAUCAAGUGUAGUAUCUGUUCUUAUCAGUUUAAUAUCUGAUACGAGGCUCAUCGAGCCUCACGAUAUUAAUCUAAUUUAUCUCGGGUGCGGGCCCAUCCGGCAGCUUGCUGCCCGGGCCAGCGCGCGUCGCCUUGGUCUUGCACUACCUCCUCGGCCGGCGCAGCCCAUUUCCCUCCGUUUCCCGGAGGGCCCCCCCCCUACAAUGCAAAGAGCGAAACUGGAAAGAGUGUGCGCGUGAGGGGACCCCCAACGUCGGCAGCGGGGCUGAGUGGAGGUGGCAACCAGUCGUGUCACGCUCCGCUGGUGCUGGUGCUGCUUGAUGCUUGAUCUGGAGGUGGAGGUGGAGGUGGAGUUGGAGUUGGAGUUGGACGCCACCUCAAAAGAAAACACAGACGGAGAAGAAGAAAAAGCAGCAGCAGAAGACGAAGAAAAACAAGAGGAAUGAAUAAUAAACACAAAAUGUCGAGAAAAAUGAAUAUAACCAAACUUGGUUACAUGUUUUUCAUGUUUUUUAUUUUUAUUUUUAUUUUUUCUUUCUGUGUUUGAUUUUAUUUGUUUUUGUUUUGUUUUGUUGUUCUUGUUGGGUUAUUGUUGUAUAAUUGUCUGAAAAAACUGUGGUCUUGAGUAUUGGUCGAAUUCUGUUCUGUGGUUUGUGGCGUAUGUUUGCUUGUUUAUUUAUUUAAAUUUAUUUUUCAGCAUUGCAGUUUCCGUUUCUUAUUUAUGAAAACUCGAUUUUGUUGUUUUGUUUAUUGUUGAUGUUGUUAUUAUUGUGUUUUUUGAAAUACACGUUUUCGUUCUUUAUCACAAAUGUUGCGCUGCUUAUUUCGAUGUACCAGUGUAUGCUUGUUAUCGAUUGAUUGACUGAUUGUUUUAUUGUGUUUUUGUUUUUGUUUUUGUUUUGUUUUGUUUGUUUGUUUUUAUUAUUUUAAUUUGUCUCUUUCUCUCAUAGCCUGCUGUCGUCGUUAUGGUCUUGAUGACGAUAACGAUGAUUAAUAGUUAUCUGUUUGUUUGAAAGAACAUAGCUUCAAAAUUCAAGAUAUCCCCUUCUCUCUUCACUCGCCUGUUUCUUAGAAUUGUGUUCAUCCAUUGAUUUGAGUGGAUUUGAGUGGUCAAUCUUAGGGGAGAUGGGGUGGUUUUGUGCAUCAAUGUUUUGAGGCAGGAACACACAUGGUUGACUCCAACAGCAACACACAGUGGUGGUGGGAAGUUGAGAGGGAUGCAGGAGGAUGCAGAUUGCACGUUGGGUUAGUGGGCGGAGAAGCGGCAGGGCAUGCGUCGGUCCCAUACGGUUGGGUGGAAGAAGGAGCAGGGCAUGCGUAGAAGAGCGUGGGUGAGAAGGCGGUGGAGGCAUGGGGCCGGGCGCUCAGCACAGAGCGAACUAUUCUUUCGCCUUUUACUAAAGAAUACCGUGCGCUGGGCGCAACGACCGGCAUAGCCAGAGUUUUUGGACUGCCCCGUUUGCGGGGCCCACCAAUUGGAAGCGCGAAACCGGAUUGUAUGGAGAACAGGGACAGGGCCUCCGUAUGACUUGUCUCCGUGGGUGGGUUGGAGAAGUGUGCCUCCUGCCACACCCGAGAGUGGGAGAGAAGCAGCGACUCGCGGUCCGCAGAGGGGCUGGCGCCGGGCCACACAUCAUCCGUCAGCACAGCAUGCCGCGCGAGAGAAAAGGGGCGCGCGCGUGUGCGUGUGUUUCAUCGAGUGCGUGCGUUUGCCGGGAGUCGAACCCGGGUCCAUUGCUUGGAAGGCAAUUAUCCUAACCGUUGGACUACAAACGCCCGGCGGCCGCGAACCGAGACCACGCACCACGGGCCCACGGCCGCGAACCGAGACCACGCACCACGGGCCCACGGCCGCUUCCACUCGCACGGCUGCGCGCUCACGGCGUCGUCUACCACCUGGCUCAUCUCGACGGGCCCUCCCGUUGGCGGCAUCUCGUGCACCGACUCAACACCGCAAAAAGUCCACGCCUCAGCGUCAAGAGAGAGGUGCACACUUACUUACUCGCGCUGAGUUUGCGCAUCCCUCCCCGUUCGGGCACCUCGCCGAACUCCGUCGGUCCUGCCGGCACCGAGUUGUGUCCCACCUGCACUCCGAGGCUCCGGGCAGUGCGCCAGCCACGGUCCCCUCCCCGACGCAACCACAAAUCCGAGGCGAGAGCGACACGACACAAGGCUGGCACACUUCGAGCCAUCCUGUUUGGGGUUUUGUGCGUUGUGAGGUCUCGGCCUACGCCAGACCUUCCAGAAAUUCUGGGGCGCCCUUGCGGGCACCGCAGGGGGGUUGGAAAUAGUUUUCAACCAGCAAUUGACGCGUCUCGGGUUUGCCUCACUAACUGCGUCAUUGCCCCAAGCGCAAAGAUACCGUCCUCCUUCCCGCCUCCCCCCGAAUGUACCUCCCUCGGGGGCUCGUCUCCUCCCAUCGCUAUGGGGCAAUCUGCCCCGACCCACCACCAAAUCGUCACCAGGCGCCGCUGCCGGGGGCGACACACCGUGCCGGCCAUCGCGUGCAUCCCUUUCGCCGCACCACCAGGCUGUGCGCUGGGCCGUGCCUCAGUCAGAGAUUGCGUUCUCAUCGGCACAGUCAGAGACCGGGGUCAAACGUGCACCUCGCAAAAAUCCAACGCCCAUCGCCCCCCUCCUCCCUCGCGCAGGGAGGAGGUAGUGGCCCGAUCCGACUCGGGUGUGUGAUCGCCGUUCUUCCCCCCCGUGCGGGAGCAACGCUCACUGCCACAGCAGCUGCCCCGAGUGUUCACUGGACCAUCGAUCGGGAGGGCGGCGCAAGACUUUUGUCCAGGCGCAGGUGCGCGUGGUGCGAAUGUAUGCAGCAGCCGGCAGGUAAUGCCGAUGUAUGCAGCAGACCUCAGAUAAUGCGGGGGGUUUCUGGGAACUCACGACCGACACACUACUUCCAAAUCAUGAACGCACCCGUACCCAGUUUCCUCCGGUUUCGGCUUCCACUUUAGGCGGGGGCCGCGCGAACGCGAGCCCCCACUGCCACAAAUUACGACGUGUAUGCCCUCCGUAGAGAGAUACUAGAGCCGCCCGCCCCGUCAGUGCAAUGGGCCGGGCUCCUCUAGGCCAUCCACCUUCCUGAUCAUGGAUCGACCCCGCCCAGGUAAGUGCCCACUCCAGCGCUCCUCCGCACCCUUCUACCACCCACCCAUACCUCGCCGCUCCAACCCGUGUGGGACAUUCUCACCCACCCUCGCUCUCCUGCUCCCUCCGCCCCCCUCACCACGCCUUCACCUCCAUUUCUCACUCCCUCUCCCUCCCUGCUACAACCAACAUCUCACCUCAAAAUCACUCCAUUGCUCCCCGCCUCCCACAAACGCCAUACCCGCACCAUCGUACAACACUCGCUGGAAGCAGAAGCAGAACAAGCAGAAGAAUAAAGGAACAACCCACCAAACAAACACGCAAAUCAAUCAAUCGUUAAAUAAAGAAUGCUUUUUUCAAACCUUGCACUUGUUCACUCUUACAAAUCCACUUUUGGAACAAAGCAAAAAGGCUCUCAAUUCCAAAUGCCAUCCCAUCCAACACAUCCAUGCCCCUAGACUCAAACAUUUUCAACCCCCCUACCUAUUUCAACGUUACAUCAUGUCAAUUCUCAUGCUAUUCCACAGUUCUUGCACUGCGGCCUUCACAUCUGCACUCCACAACCUACCCUUGCACUUACAUUUUUUUUUAAUUUUUUUUAAUUUAUUAUAUAUAUAUAUUAUUUUAUUUAUCAUUAUUAUAAUCCAUGUCUGAAAAUUAAAAAAAAACAUAUACCAAUAGGCAAAUCAACAAAAUAAGCAAUAUCUCCCAUGAUUGUUUUUUUUUUUUUUUUUUUUUUUUUUUUGUUUCGUUUAGGGUAUAGGGCUGUUUUCCCUAUUAAUUGUAUGUACGUAUGUAUGUAUACACACUGUUAUGACACUCACUCACAUGAAUACACCCUAGGUAACAAAAUGCCACGUUUUCCCAUGUUUUGGGAUAUUUUGUUUGACCAUGAGUAGUAGCACCGGUAGAGCCCCCGUACCCUUUACAGUCUUGAAACGAAGAAAAUCACGGUAUUCAGCAUGGUUGAUUUGGUGUUGUGUGGUUGCAAAAUGCAAGAGAGCCUGGGGACGAUGGUGAUUCGGAGGGCGGGGGCUUUGAUUUGGUGGUGUGGCGAGUGUGAUGAUAUGUCGAAGUGGCAGUGUGAAUGGGUAAAUGCCCCAUAGUGUGUGCAGGCGGGAGGGCGGAGGUGGGGGUAGAAGAGGGGCGGGGCGGGAGGGGAGGGGCAUACCUUUCUCGGCCUUUUGGCUAAGAUCAAGUGUAGUAUCUGUUCUUAUCAGUUUAAUAUCUGAUACGAGGCUCAUCGAGCCUCACGAUAUUAAUCUAAUUUAUCUCGGGUGCGGGCCCAUCCGGCAGCUUGCUGCCCGGGCCAGCGCGCGUCGCCUUGGUCUUGCACUACCUCCUCGGCCGGCGCAGCCCAUUUCCCUCCGUUUCCCGGAGGGCCCCCCCCCUACAAUGCAAAGAGCGAAACUGGAAAGAGUGUGCGCGUGAGGGGACCCCCAACGUCGGCAGCGGGGCUGAGUGGAGGUGGCAACCAGUCGUGUCACGCUCCGCUGGUGCUGGUGCUGCUUGAUGCUUGAUCUGGAGGUGGAGGUGGAGGUGGAGUUGGAGUUGGAGUUGGACGCCACCUCAAAAGAAAACACAGACGGAGAAGAAGAAAAAGCAGCAGCAGAAGACGAAGAAAAACAAGAGGAAUGAAUAAUAAACACAAAAUGUCGAGAAAAAUGAAUAUAACCAAACUUGGUUACAUGUUUUUCAUGUUUUUUAUUUUUAUUUUUAUUUUUUCUUUCUGUGUUUGAUUUUAUUUGUUUUUGUUUUGUUUUGUUGUUCUUGUUGGGUUAUUGUUGUAUAAUUGUCUGAAAAAACUGUGGUCUUGAGUAUUGGUCGAAUUCUGUUCUGUGGUUUGUGGCGUAUGUUUGCUUGUUUAUUUAUUUAAAUUUAUUUUUCAGCAUUGCAGUUUCCGUUUCUUAUUUAUGAAAACUCGAUUUUGUUGUUUUGUUUAUUGUUGAUGUUGUUAUUAUUGUGUUUUUUGAAAUACACGUUUUCGUUCUUUAUCACAAAUGUUGCGCUGCUUAUUUCGAUGUACCAGUGUAUGCUUGUUAUCGAUUGAUUGACUGAUUGUUUUAUUGUGUUUUUGUUUUUGUUUUUGUUUUGUUUUGUUUGUUUGUUUUUAUUAUUUUAAUUUGUCUCUUUCUCUCAUAGCCUGCUGUCGUCGUUAUGGUCUUGAUGACGAUAACGAUGAUUAAUAGUUAUCUGUUUGUUUGAAAGAACAUAGCUUCAAAAUUCAAGAUAUCCCCUUCUCUCUUCACUCGCCUGUUUCUUAGAAUUGUGUUCAUCCAUUGAUUUGAGUGGAUUUGAGUGGUCAAUCUUAGGGGAGAUGGGGUGGUUUUGUGCAUCAAUGUUUUGAGGCAGGAACACACAUGGUUGACUCCAACAGCAACACACAGUGGUGGUGGGAAGUUGAGAGGGAUGCAGGAGGAUGCAGAUUGCACGUUGGGUUAGUGGGCGGAGAAGCGGCAGGGCAUGCGUCGGUCCCAUACGGUUGGGUGGAAGAAGGAGCAGGGCAUGCGUAGAAGAGCGUGGGUGAGAAGGCGGUGGAGGCAUGG
rnacentral:lncRNA from 1 species